rnacentral:rRNA from 1 species
CCUACGGGAGGCAGCAGUGGGGAAUAUUGCACAAUGGGGGAAACCCUGAUGCAGCGACGCCGCGUGAGUGAAGAAGUAUUUCGGUAUGUAAAGCUCUAUCAGCAGGGAAGAAAAUGACGGUACCUGAUUAAGAAGCCCCGGCUAACUACGUGCCAGCAGCCGCGGUAAUACGUAGGGGGCAAGCGUUAUCCGGAUUUACUGGGUGUAAAGGGAGCGUAGACGGGAGAACAAAGCUGGAGUGAAAUGCCGGGGCUUAACCCCGGAACUGCUUUGGAAACUGGGCAGCUAGAGUGCAGGAGAGGUAAGUGGAAUGCGUGGUGUAGCGGUGAAAUGCGUAGAUAUUAGGAGGAACACCAGUGGCGAAGGCGGCUUACUGGACUGUAACUGACGUUGAGGCUCGAAAGCGUGGGGAGCGAACAGGAUUAGAUACCCCAGUAGUC